rnacentral:rRNA from 1 species
GCUACAGGCUUAACACAUGCAAGUCGAGGGGCAGCAUGGUCUUAGCUUGCUAAGGCCGAUGGCGACCGGCGCACGGGUGAGUAACGCGUAUCCAACCUGCCUUACACUCUUGGAUAGCCUUCUGAAAGGGAGAUUAAUACAAGAUGUUAUCAUGAGUAAGCAUUUUCACAUGAUUAAAGGUUUACCGGUGUAAGAUGGGGAUGCGUUCCAUUAGAUAGUAGGCGGGGUAACGGCCCACCUAGUCUUCGAUGGAUAGGGGUUCUGAGAGGAAGGUCCCCCACAUUGGAACUGAGACACGGUCCAAACUCCUACGGGAGGCAGCAGUGAGGAAUAUUGGUCAAUGGACGAGAGUCUGAACCAGCCAAGUAGCGUGAAGGAUGAAGGUUCUAUGGAUUGUAAACUUCUUUUAUACGGGAAUAAACGAAUCCACGUGUGGAUUUUUGCAUGUACCGUAUGAAUAAGGAUCGGCUAACUCCGUGCCAGCAGCCGCGGUAAUACGGAGGAUCCGAGCGUUAUCCGGAUUUAUUGGGUUUAAAGGGAGCGUAGAUGGGUUGUUAAGUCAGUUGUGAAAGUUUGCGGCUCAACCGUAAAAUUGCAAUUGAUACUGGCAGUCUUGAGUACAGUUGAGGUAGGCGGAAUUCGUGGUGUAGCGGUGAAAUGCUUAGAUAUCACGAAGAACUCCGAUUGCGAAGGCAGCUUA